UCUUCAUCAGGCCACAGGUCAUGGAUAGCUGGGAUCAGUUUCUCACACAUAUAGAGCCUCAUUACAUCUCUUGUAACUUUCAAUGAUUUGAGUUCAAGUGUCCCUCUUUCUCUAUUUUCACUCCUUCUUUGAGCCGGAGACUCUAUGACAAAGGCCCAAAUGCCUAUCUUUCCAUCAAACGUGACGACACCAACAUUGCCAUAUCUUGGUUUAGCCAUGGCCGCAAGAAACAUCACCUUCGCGAUGCUAUCCUUAUGAUGCAAGGUGCGUAAGGGAUCAGGUUCUUCGCGAAGCAGCAAGUAGCCGUUCUCCUCCUGUGUCAGAGUGAACCAUUUCUCAUCCAUAUAGACUAUGUCAUCCAAUUCCCGGAAAUGAGGCCAGGGAGUUCUCAGCCAUAGAAAUGCAAAAUCUCAAUCUCUCUAUCUCGUUGGCUGGCUUUAUUGUGGGCCUCAGUUUGUUAGUGUUGCGCCUCAACUCAUCCAACACGAACCUUGCGUGUAAGGUCGUGCAGCUUACACCCAGAGACCUUGCUGGACUUCGAAAUGUCCUCCGCCUAUUUAGUGGGAUUGUCGCCAUCCUCGACAGGUCCAGAUCUUCCGGCUUACAACCAACUCUACUUUUCUUUUGGUUGAGACAUCAACUUCCUCCCCUCGUGCAAUUUGGCGAUUUGCUCUUCUCCAUAUUCUGCUAACAGUGCUUAGGCUUGUUUUCAGUAGGUUGGCAAUGAGCUUCUUGUCUGUUUUCACUACUUGUCCAUCUUUGUUCUUCAUUACUUUGAGAGCAAAAUAAACACCAAAUCUUUCCUUAUUUGUCGGUUCUCUGCUUUUUGGAUGCUGAACACCUUGAAGUUGUACUUCUUCUUGAGGAAACAAAUUCAGAUCUGGUACUUGUUCUUCUUGAGGAUUCCAAUUCAGAUCUGGUACUUGCUCUUGAGGAAUUAAAUGUAAAUCUGGUUGUUCUUGUUCUUCUUGAGGAGUCCAAUUCAUAUAUUGUUCUUCUUGAGGAAACAAAUUCAGGUCUAGUACUUGUUCUUGAGGAAUGAAAUGUAAAUUUGGUUCUUCUUGUUCUUCUUGAGGAGUCCAAUUCAUAUCUUGGUCUUCUUGAGGAAGCCAAUUCAGAUCCGGUACUUGUUCUUCUUGUUCUUCUUGAGGAUUUCAAUUCAGAUCUGGUACUUGUUCUUGAGGAAUGAAAUGUAAAUCUGGUUCUUCUUGUUCUUCUUGAGGAGUCCAAUUCAUAUAUUGUUCUUCUUGAGGAAGCCAAUUUAAAUCUGGUUCUUCUUGUUCUUCUGGUUCUUCAAGUUCCCAAUCAUCAUCUUGCCGAGGACUCCUGUUGAGAUCAACACCAAACAUCAUCGUAGUGGUGGCGAUGACACAACUUGAGCUCACUCUGACACGCAAGUUGAAAAGCAGAGUCAUAAACUCGUGCCAUCACCAAAAGGAUGUCAGCAAAUGAGGAAAUGGCAGGAAUGGAUGUUCUCUGCUGCGACAAAACCGGAACUCUCACUCUCAACCAUUUUACAGUCGACACAAAACCUAAUAGAGGGGAUUAUUGCUUUGCUUCAUGACUUCUCAGCCAGUGCAUCAAGUACCUCGGUCCGAAGGAAAGGGAGGACUAUGAGGUCGUAAUUGAGGACAACAAGUUCUUGUACAAGAAGAACCGACAAAUAAUUGACACGUCCUUCGGUCCGAGGGAUGCAAAGUGGAUCUUUGUUCUUAGCACAACUAAGACCUUGUAUGUUGGUCAGAAAGGUAAAUUCAGCAUUCUAGCUUUCUUGCUGGGGGAGCUACCUCUGCUGCUGGGAGACUGGUUGCUGAAAAUGGGACUCUGAAGGCUAUUUGGCCUCACAGUGGUCACUACCGCCCCACAUAGGAGAAUUUUCAGGAGUUCAAAAGCUUUCUCAAUGACAACUUGGUUGAUCUGCUCAGGCAAGAAGCAGCAGCAGCAGCGGUAGAUGGAGAGACGAGAUGCAGGGACGCCUGUAAUGACCCAUGUGGCCACGAACCUGGCCGUGGAGAUGCAGGGACGCCUGCCCACGCUACAUCAAGGAGGAGGGGAAGAUGGAGCCGCGGCGGAAGAUGGAGCCGCGGCGCCUGAGCCUGGCAGCGGCGGAAUAUGGAGGCCCGACGCCUGAGCCUGGCAGCGGCGGAAGAUGGAGCCGCGGUGCCUGAGCCUGGCAGCGGCGGAAGAUGGAGGCUCGGCACCUGAGCCUGGCAGCGGCGGAAGAUGGAGCCGCGGCGCCUGAGCCUGGAAGCGGCGGAAGAUGGAGCCACGCCGCCUGAGCCUGGCAGCGGCGGAGACAGAGCUCGAUGUGCUGGAGUCGCCGGCGCUAUCUUGUUGCCGGAGAUGGAGCUGGAGGUACUCGGAGGUGGGGAGCUCGAGGUGCUGGGUGCGGGAGCCCGAGGAGCUAACGCCGGCGACGGGGUCCUAGUGCUGGGGAUGGAGCUCGAGGUUCUGGCCGGCGGGAGAUCGAGGUUCUGGCCGGCGGACGGAGGUUCCCCGCGGUGGAUCGCGACGAGCGGACGGAGAACUGGGUACUGGAUUGUAAUGAUUUCAAAUUUCAGAAGGGUCUUAUUGUAAAAUUGAUUUGUUCACGAUUCCGCCCCCCUAGAGUCAUCUAGUAUUACCGAAUGGAGGGAGUACAUGGUUUCCGCUUCUUCCUUGUCUUUCCAUGAUGAUAGCGAUGAGGUGGAGAUGGAAGAUGACAAUGGAGGUUUCUGCACGACAUGCUUCAAUCAACAAUUUAGGAGGUUUCUAGAAAAAAGCGGCACCCCAGCUCCGCCCAGUCACUGCCAAUGGCUCCGUCGCCACACUGUCACACCAUGCGUGCAGCGUAUGUGGCUGGAGUAUUGAACUGUACAUGCAAAUUUUGGCACCACUUUUUCAUCGAGUGAUUCAUACAUAGCAUCUCUUUCUUUUAUGGAGGGCUCUAGCAAUUGAUAUCCUUUUGCAAAUAAUUGAAAUGCAAUUUCGUGA